rnacentral:tRNA from 1 species
GCGCCAUUAGCUCAGCGGAUAGAGUGUUCGGCUACGAACCGAAAGGUCACUGGUUCGAAUCCAGUAUGGCGUGCCA